GUGCUCGUUUCGGCAGCACAUAUACUAAAAUUGGAACAAUACAGAGAAGAUUACCAUGGCCCCUAUGCAAGGAUGACACGCAAAUUUGUGAAGCGUUCCAUAUUAAA